rnacentral:misc_RNA from 1 species
UUAAGUUCAGCGGGUAUCCCUACCUGAUCCGAGGUCGACCUUACGAUGGGGUUUUCACGGCGUCGGACGCCCCUCUCCGCCGGCGAUUUGGUGUGCCACAACGCUGGGGUGAGUGCGUCCCCGCCGGGGACAUUGGGGCCCGGGUCUCCCCGUGGCCCAAGACCAAGCCAGGCUUGAUGGGUGUAAUGACGCUCGAACAGGCAUGCCCCCCGGAGUACCAGGGGGCGCAAUGUGCGUUCAAAGAUUCGAUGAUUCACUGAAUUCUGCAAUUCACAUUACUUAUCGCAUUUCGCUGCGUUCUUCAUCGAUGCCAGAACCAAGAGAUCCGUUGUUGAAAGUUUUAACUAUUAUAUAGUACUCAGACGACACUAACAUUCAGGUUUGGGAGUCCUCUGGCGGGCGCGCCCUAGCCGGAGCCAGGGGCAGGGCCGGAGCCCCGCGGCCCGCCAAAGCAACGAAGGUAUAACGACACAGGGUGGGAGGUCUACCCAAAGGGCAGAGUCUCUGUAAUGAUCCCU